CAUCGGCCUUACAAAUGGCCUCACAAUAUUAGCCCUAAUCGACCCUGACCUGGACUCUAAUGUAAUAUCAAUUUACAGUCUAAAAAUCUGAUCAAACGGACUAAAAAAACUAGCUUCCGAAAAACACAAAAUACCGGUCAGCCAACUGUAAAAUAACCACCAAAUCACCGGCCCCAGAAUACGGGCCUCACUACAGAAAAUGGUCAAAAAAUAUACAGGAACUAAUCUGAAGAAUAUCACUUGGUAAAGGCUCAAAGAUUGCCAAAAUAGAGAGAGUGUGGGAAAGAGAAAGAAUCUCCCAUUUUUGAAAAAAAAUGAAAGAAGGAAAGUGAAAAAAUCUGGUCCCUCUCUCUCCUGCCGUCUAUUUCAAAAAUGAAAGAAAAGUUGAUGUAAAUCUCAGCCCUCCAUUUUGAUCAAUGGCCCAUAAUUUUUUCAAACAAACACAAAUCCUUGUGAAGAGUAAGUUGCCAAUAGAAAGCUGUCAUGUGGCCAACAAAUGGAGAAAACUUUUUGUCACUUGUAAAAACGUGAUUUUUGGGUUUUGAAAACAUUUCACAAUCUUCACCUUGUUUUCACAAACCCCUAGCUCUCUCUAGUUGCUACAAUGCAUGUGACGGUAGUGUUUUUGCCCUACAUCAUCGCCCUUAGUACCUACAAAAGAAAUUAACCCAUAUCAAUAUGCAGUAAAGAUAAACAAGCCUUAAAUUUACCUACAUUUAGAAUUUUGGUUCCCAUAACGGAUGGGUUCACGUCGGUGUGAAUUUUUCCAAGUACAACAUCACCACAAGCAAUUUUUUCACGUAUGAAAUGGUACUUCACCUCAAUGUUUUUAGAUCUUUCAUCAUAAAUCGGGUUUUUACAUAAAAGUAAAGCACUUUGACUAUCGGUGAAAAUAACGGGUAACGCUUGCAAAAAAUUCAACUCCCCCAAAAUUCCUUUCAACUAAAUGCAUUCUUUUACAGAUUCGGUUAUUACCACAUAUUCAGCUUAUGUGCUGAAUAAUGUGACAAUGGAUUGAAGUUGUA
rnacentral:lncRNA from 1 species